CCCGGUGAACAUUGCGAUGGGGCCACACCUGUUCCCAUUCCGAACACAGCAGUUAAGCCCAUCUGCGCCGAUGGUACUGCGGGGGCGACUCCGUGGGAGAAAGUAGGUAUUUGCCGGGU
rnacentral:rRNA from 1 species